GACGAACGCUGGCGGCGUGCUUAACACAUGCAAGUCGAACGGAGCGAAUGAAAGCUUGCUUUUAUAAGCUUAGUGGCAAACGGGUGAGUAACACGUAGACAACCUGCCGACAGGAUGGGGACAACAUUCCGAAAGGAAUGCUAAUACCGAAUGAAGUGCAGGGGAGGCAUCUCCCCUGCAUGAAAGAUGGCCUCUUUUUAUGCUAUCACCUGUUGAUGGGUCUGCGUCUGAUUAGCUGGUAGGUGAGGUAACGGCUCACCUAGGCGACGAUCAGUAGCCGGUCUGAGAGGAUGAACGGCCACAUUGGGACUGAGACACGGCCCAGACUCCUACGGGAGGCAGCAGUGGGGAAUCUUCCGCAAUGGGCGCAAGCCUGACGGAGCAACGCCGCGUGAGUGAAGAAGGUCUUCGGAUCGUAAAGCUCUGUUGAUGGGGACGAACGUGCCUAAUGCGAAUAGUAUUAGGUAANG
rnacentral:rRNA from 1 species